UUCAUUUUCAUCCCACAAAUUUCACAUUUUCGAGUUUCUUCAUUAGUAAAUCGUCAAAGAUGCUUCCUUUUGCUCGGUUUAUGAGUUUGGACGGUUGAAAGGGUCGGAAUCGAGGUUCACACCGGAAAAAGACUUCCCCAGCAGUCUACAUCCUUACCUUUGACUACAAAAACAAAAAUCUACGUAGACCUACCAAGACGGCUACGAAAAAGAGGAAAUGACUCAAUUACCGGCCGUAUACGGAGAAUGGGUGGAGAAAGGCUCAUUGUGGGAGUUUGUGGUCAAUAAAAAAAAGGGAGGGAGAAUGUUCCCUUUGAAAGAUGGUUGUACACAUGUUGAACUUCUUCAAAUGGUACAAGAAGAUUAUGAUCUAGACUAAAAACAUAUUGGUUAAGUGUGUUGAGUGAUUUGUAACACACACUUUCAACGAUUAUUGGGUAACAAUGUUUUUUUUCUUUCAAACA